rnacentral:rRNA from 1 species
GCCAGCAGCCAUAUCACUCUGCAACUCACAACUGCAAACCCACUGAAGCAAAGCAGAUGUGAGCCUGGUCAGUACCUGGAUAGGAGACCUCCUGGGAAAAACUAAGGUUUUGCUGCAA